AGUGAACGCUGGCGGUAGGCCUAACACAUACAAGUCGAACGGCAGCACAGUAAGAGCUUGCUCUUACGGGUGGCGAGUGGCGGACGGGUGAGGAAUACAUCGGAAUCUACUUUUUCGUGGGGGAUAACGUAGGGAAACUUACGCAAUACCGCAUACGACCUACGGGUGAAAGCAGGGGAUCUUCGGACCUUGCGCGAUUGAAUGAGCCGAUGUCGGAUUAGCUAGUUGGCGGGGUAAAGGCCCACCAAGGCGACGAUCCGUAGCUGGUCUGAGAGGAUGAUCAGCCACACUGGAACUGAGACACGGUCCAGACUCCUACGGGAGGCAGCAGUGGGGAAUAUUGGACAAUGGGCGCAAGCCUGAUCCAGCCAUACCGCGUGGGUGAAGAAGGCCUUCGGGUUGUAAAGCCCUUUUGUUGGGAAAGAAAAGCAGCAGGUUAAUACCCCGCUGUUCUGACGGUACCCAAAGAAUAAGCACCGGCUAACUUCGUG
rnacentral:rRNA from 1 species